CCAGUCGUGGCGGAGUGGUUAGGGCGAUGGACUAGAAAUCUAUUGGGGUCUCCCCUCACAGGUUCGAAUCCUGUCGACUGCG
rfam:Ixodes scapularis strain Wikel colony gcontig_1108379700546, whole genome shotgun sequence.